GAUGUCAUGUUUAUCGGUCUCAUGGCCUAGUUCCAGCUCAGUCCCAUUCAAGUGAAUUGUCCUCGGCUGCAAUACCAAGCACAACCACUAUACAAUGUAUGGCACUGUGCAUUAUAUGCUGUCAAUAGGGGCCCAUGGCCUCUUCA